AUACCUUUCUCGGCCUUUUGGCUAAGAUCAAGUGUAGUAUCUGUUCUUAUCAGUUUAAUAUCUGAUACGUGAGUCAUUGACUCACAUGAUAUUAAAUUUAUUUUUUUAGGGUGAGGAUCCUUUCCAGUAGCUUGCUACCGGUUCCUCAUGUGUCGUCCUUGUCUUACACUUCAGCAGGGGCUUGGCACAUCCCAC
rnacentral:snRNA from 1 species